rnacentral:rRNA from 1 species
AAACAAGUUAAUAAACUAAAACUUUCAACAACGGAUCUCUUGGUUCUGGCAUCGAUGAAGAACGCAGCGAAAUGCGAUAAGUAAUGUGAAUUGCAGAAUUCAGUGAAUCAUCGAAUCUUUGAACGCACAUUGCGCCCCUUGGUAUUCCGAGGGGCAUG